UUUAAGGCCUGAAGUGGGCGGUGUCCUCUCAGGCCGCGAGUUUUCUGCUCUGCAGGCUCUUCUAGCAGAAUUUUUCCACGCAAACUCUCCGUAGCCGCUGAAAAGGAGACUGAGGCACAGUAAAAGGAAGUGAUUGUCCAAGGACAUGCCAGCUCUUAGAGGUGGGAGAAGAGAGUCCAGGACCACGAGAUGAUGACAAGGCCAGAGGAGAGCUGGGAGUCAGCUUGCUGGAAGCACAUAAUGCCAGGCCCCAGG